rnacentral:misc_RNA from 1 species
UGAGAAUGUAUACAAAGAUCAUCUCACUAUUGCACACCACAUUACAAAUUGCACAUACUCUGACUGCCCCCAAUGCUGCCCCACCUUUAACAAUUUUCCUUCUCUUUGUCUCCAAAUCUUCUGCUGGUGCAGCUGCUUUCUUCUUACCCCUUUGUCCGUUGCCAACUUUGCCCUUAUUAGGAUCUUCUUGUGGCCCAAUAAUUAGAUUACGUGAAACUGAUGAAGUACUGGGGCCAGCAGCAGCCACUUGUAAUUUCUCCAAGUUUUUCCUGUGUUUCUUUCCCAAUUUAUGCUUUUCAAGUACUUCCUUGCUGUUACAGUCUACCUUGCAAACUUCACAAUAUGCAGAUUGAACAACCUUUGUUUUCUUUNNNAAUAACCAACACUCAAUUCUAUCAAAUAUUCAAUCACCCAACAAGUAUUUUAUAUUAAAAANCCCACACAAUGGACUCUGGAUGUGCCAACUGUUCACUUACAACAGCGCCUCCAUAUCCAGCCGGAUUCGCCCCAUACUGCUGAACGGCCUCCUUGGCAGCCCAAAUCUGCAAAUUGGGAUCCAAA